GGCCACGGGCACGGCGUAGCCAUCGUCCCACUGGAGCUCGGCCAGCACCGAGGCGGCGGAGCGGCUGCCGGUGCUCUGCAUGGCCGCAGAUGGAUUUCCCAAGGCUGGUAACGCAAUGGAAGAAGCAAAAAUGGAAAGAGUGGUGGGUAGGAGACGGAACGUGUUGAAAGCUUGAAGGAUGGAGAAUCUGACAGAAUGGAAAAAGUCCAUUUCUCCAGAUCAGGCCUGUCCAGCAACAUUCAUUUCUGCUUUGAGUCUGCUCAAGUGAGUUUCUCAAGAAUGGAUGAAAGAUCAGGUUUGGAUAUUGUUUUGCCUAAGUGAGUUUUGCUAACAUAACUUUUUGCUUAGUAGAAGAGUUUUCUCCAUGUUAAGAUGGCCAAACAAGGGAGCAGUGUUUUAUAGUAGCACGUAGAAUUGCUAAACUCUAGAUGUAUUGCUAAACAUAUAUGUAUGUUACACAAAACAGGAAAGUUAACUCUGUUAGAGCCAAAAACAGUGAAUCUCACUAAGACAGUAGUAUGAUAAUUGAUACAAAGAGGUCAACUAACUUGCUUCAGAUUGCCUGCAACACCAGGUAGGAGAUGGGAAUUAUUUACUUGCUCUGGUGGUUUCACUCUCAAACUACACCACAGCCAUUCUCUCACUCCUCAUUUUCAAAGAAAGAUGGGGAAAGAUCCCUCCCAUGGGAUGAUGUCCUUCCCAAACUGAUCCUGUGUGGGCUUCUCACAGGCAGAAGCUCUUCAAGAACUGCCUGGAGCACCUCCUGCCCUCCUUCUCCACUGACCUUGGUGCCUGCACAGUUGUUUCUCGCUCAUUUUCUCAUUCUGCUGUCCUCAGCUGUUGUUGCACAGUAGUGUUUUUUUCCCUAAAUCUGCUUUCCCAGAGGCAGACCCAGCACUGCUUAUUGGCUCAGCUCUGGCCAUUGGUGUGGCCCAUUAGGAGCUGGCUCUGAUCUGACACGGGGCAGUUCCUGGGCUCUUCUCACAAAGGGUGUCCCUACAGCCCCCCGCUACUAAAAUCUUGCCACAUAAACCCAGCGUGCUUGCAUUUUGUUUUCAGACACAAAUAUAACAUCCUAUAUGAAAGUAAUUGUUAUUCUGGUUACAUGGGAUAGCCUGUAUCCAGUUCUUCCAUUCCAAAGUCCAUUUGUGCUGUAGAGAAUAUGUAGGGAUUGUGAAUGUACCCAUAAGUACCAUUCCACAGUUGAACUAAUUGCCAGGCCAAGCAAGGGACCACAGUAAAUGGGUGAAUAAUUUGAUCCAAGAUGGAUUUGUACUCUACCACACAGCCUGAAAUCUUCUAAUGCUUUUGGAUUUGACUGUGAGCUGUUCAUUGUUGUUUGAGCCUGUUAUUUUCUAUUACCGUAUUUUCUCUGGAUAUCAUUUGUGUACCUUAUCUUUGUAUAAAAGGCCACAUCUUUACCAUAUUUCUGGGGAGUAGUCUGUAGAAGCAUACAAAAUUUACUGCUGUAGACCAAAAUAUGACAGAUAAAGGUAGUGCAUUACAAAGUUCUUGCCCUCAAUCAUGCAGAAGGCUGCCUAUGCUUCUGUAAGCAGUGGUACAUAUGUGACUAUCCUGUAAGGGGAGAAGGGUUAAUGGCAAACUAAGACAUUUUCUGCAGCAAAAGCAGAGGCAAUCUUCACUAAGCAAUUGCCUUUUAUGUAAUAAACAAUGUCAUGUGUUCAGUGGUCAAUAAAGGAUGUUUUCUUGCCCUAAUCCCCUUCCAUUUAACUUAAAAUAAAAAUGCUAUUAGUUUGACUAGCAGGCUAAUAUAUUGUGAAUCCUGACCAUAGAUGUUUGCAUAUUGAAUUUAUGCUGCUAGCAGCCUUUGUCUUUCCUUUCAUUGAAUAAAAUACAGUAAAUAAACUUAGACUAGAACUUCAGUGGUGUUAGGUACGUUUGGCAGAUUUGUCUCUUUAUAUACUGCAGUUUCUUUGCAAUACAGAGUACGCUGCUUUUCAUUACAGGCAAUUUUAGCUGCUUUUGUCUGAAAAUUGAGCUCUAAUUACUAAUGAGUACUUUCUAAAAUAAUUUAAUCUUGGGAAAGAAUGCAUGUAACGUAAUUGUUAAAUAUCUACUGGCAAGAUAGGUAGCUUGUGUUUUCACUAACCCUUAAAGGAGGUUAAGGUUUGAUAACUCAAGAGAAAUGGCAAAAGCCAUGAUACAUGAUUAAAGUAAUUAAGCAUUUAAAGAUUAUGACAGCAUAUCUGUGUUUCUUUGUAGAAGCCUUGACUUUCAAGGCAUGUGAUUUUUUUCCUCAUGGAUGUGUUGAAUUUUUUGGUACAGAGCAGCCACACAAAUGAAUGUUCCAUAGCUGAAAAUCUCCAUGCUAGUUAAAGGAAACAGAAGGGGCCAGAGAUUUGAGGCAACACACUGAUAGGUGUUUCUGUGCUGCAAAUAAAUUGUGUCCAUCUCCUGUUCUUUCUAGUGAAAUGCACAUACUGUCAUCUCUUUACUCUUUUUUUUGCUUUGGAGACAUGUUGAUUGAAGAACACUUGCACUCAAAAAAGAAAAAUGAGGCACAGAAUUCAAGAUAAAGUUAAUUAUAUUUAGUAUUCUCAAAGGCUAUAUGCAGAGGUAGUGGAAAUUACAAACAGAUCCAUUCCAUAUAUAUGUUUAGUAUCACUUCUUUUUUUUAUAAACAGAGUAACAGUAAAGCCAGGGCAGUGCCAUGGAAGGCCAGUGGCAUUACAGUUGCAGGAAUCUGGUCAAAGAGAAGAACUGAGCCCUGACCUUAGCCACAGCUAUUCCUAGCACUGCUAGAGUCUCAAGUAAUUGCUAUUUCUUCAGUUCCUCACUUUCAUCUGUGAGUCCCUCAGUGCUUGAAUAUUUUUUCUUCUGACUUAAAAAACUACAUCUAAUACAAUUCCUUCUUUUCUUCCUCAUUUUGGUAGUAUUGAGGGUACUGGAACAGUUAUUACUUGUUUAUUUCUUAUCAGUUCUGUUUUUGUUUUUGGUUUUUGUUUUUUUUGUGUGUGUGUGGGAAGAAAUUGGCCUUCUUCCCACCAGCAUACAUAGAGCCAGAAAAUGCCCCACAGUUGUCAAGGCAACAGCUUUUGAUGGAGAACAGCAGAAGGAAAUGUGGCAGGAACAUCCUCCAGAGAACCAAGGUCUUUUGUUGUUCAUCCUAUAAAUGUGUGUGGUCCCUUUUCUUCAAAUGGUAUCAAUUUAUGCAUUAGGGAUAAUAAGUUAUACACAGUGCAGUAUAAUGAGAUGGAGCUCAUGCUUCAGACAAAAACAUUCUAAUACUUUCUCAGGUAUAUACUUGUGGGCCCAAAGUGAUCUUCUCUUCAAUGUAUUUGUUCUGUUGUGUACAUAUCCAUAGAAAAUAUUGGCAUAAAUCACAUAUUUUUAGAAUAUUGGGGCAGAAAGUGAGCUUGGCUUUCUUUAGGACAUAGAACUUUUAGCAAUUGGAACUUUCUGAUUAAUAUUUUUUGAUACUAUUCAGUACUCCAGAAGAAGGAUGAUUUUAUUUCCCACCCUGGACAAACUUACUAAAAGCAGUCAAACAGAUCCUCAGUGUCUCAUCUGAACCAACAGAGCUAUGUUAAAUUGUAUCUGCUGUGGACAGUGAUCUGCAUGAAUUCAGCAUGGAAAACAUCAUUGCUGGAGUGCUGGAAAUGACCAUAGUCUAGGUCAUCCAUUCUAGUAUGAGGGCAAAACCCAAGCAAUUUUUCUGUGUAGUACUGUUGGAAUUUCGACUGCCUGAACACGGAAGAGUUAGAAUAUCUUACAUCUCUAUAAUACAGUUGGAGGCUCAAAGCCUAUUUCCAUGGAGGCAUAAAAAAUGUUACAUUUCCCAUGAAACUAUCGGGAAUUUAAUAAUGUUUUGUACAGGGAGAUCAGGUGGUCCUAAGUCUUGUUACUGCACUCUGUCAUGGAAUGUUACAGUCUUCAUGCAAUAGUUAAUAUUUCUAAAGUGUAUAUUUGCUGUCAUGUUUGCUAUAUGUCCAGUAAAGUAUUAUGUAAUAUAAUAUUUUUUAUUA